ACUCAAAUGAAUUGACGGGGGCCCGCACAAGCGGUGGAGCAUGUGGUUUAAUUCGAUGCAACGCGAAGAACCUUACCAGGGCUUGACAUCCUGCGAAUUCUGUGGAAACACGGGAGUGCCUUUUUAAGGAACGCAGAGACAGGUGGUGCAUGGUUGUCGUCAGCUCGUGUCGUGAGAUGUUGGGUUAAGUCCCGCAACGAGCGCAACCCUUGCACUUAGUUGCCAUCACGUAAAGGUGGGCACUCUAAGGGGACUGCCGGUGACAAACCGGAGGAAGGUGGGGAUGACGUCAAAUCAUCAUGCCCUUUAUGUCCUGGGCUACACACGUGCUACAAUGGUCGGUACAGAGGGUAGCGAAGCAGCGAUGUGGAGCCAAUCCCACAAAGCCGACCCCAGUUCGGAUUGCAGGCUGCAAUUCGCCUGCAUGAAGUCGGAAUCGCUAGUAAUCGCGGAUCAGAAUGCCGCGGUGAAUACGUUCCCGGGCCUUGUACACACCGCCCGU
rnacentral:rRNA from 1 species